GAGCGGAGGAAGGGGAAGGCGGUGGUCGUCGUUCGAGUGGCCUCCUCAGGGUCAGAGUUGAGAAGGGGUGGUGGCUGCUCCUGCCUCCUCCGGAUCCUAGGGCCUGGACCAGCUUGUUCUGAUGCACUGGGUCGCGGUAGCAGAUAAACCAUGGGAACAGCUCUCCUUCCCUCUGCCUUUGAAUUUGUGUGGGGGGCCAGUGUGAGCAGUGAGUGCCCUCACCGGAUGCCCAGGUCCCAGAUGGGUCGCGUUGCACUGGCUCCUCCAAUGUGACUGUCAGGUCUGUUUCCUCUUCGCGACCCCACCUCGCCCCCCACCCCCCAGGUCGCUAGGGGGGCUGCAGCAGGCACAUUUCUGCCCUGCCUGUUUGGGAGUCCUGGCAGAGCCUUCUUGCAGGUCACAACCCGCCUUCUUGGGGGUUCCAGCUUGAGGGGGAGAGGGGGAGCAGCAAGGUCUCAAAUAUGCCCCUGAGGCUUCUGCUUGCCGUCCUGAUUCUCUGCAACUGAGCCUGUGGGGCAGACCCUUGGCUCUGGUCCCUGGGCAGCUCCUCUCGGUUGGUUGUCCCCACUAACACACACAGAUCUCAUACUUGGGUGGAUGAUGGAUAAGGUUGGUCCCUGGGGAAACGCUAGAAAUUGGAUCACUUGGUCUACCCAGUCUUGGAUAGUGAACGGAGCCUCCUGUGUGGACGGAAGCCCAAGAGGGUUGGACCAACCUCCAGCCCAGCCCUGGGUCCAGGUUGAGGUGGGUUUCAUCAUUAAAUGCUUCCUGCAGGUAAGGUUCCAGCUGUCCCCACUCCCAGGAGCAAGCUGUUAGGCUGGGUCCUGUCCACUUCUCUCUGGGUCUGUCUGUUACCUCCUGAGUACCCAUCAGCCCUUUGCCCUGGAUUUUGGACUCCCCAGGCCUUACCUGCAGGUCUUGAGCACAGCUAGUUCUGGACCUAUUCUAUCUGCCUUGUUAGAUCAUGUCCACCCUUCUUGGAGCCUGCUCUCUGUGGCUCCCCCAGCACAAGAGCCUUCAGGCUUCUUAAGUAAGUGGACCUUGUAGGUGCAUAUGGGUUCCAUGUGGAGCCAAACCCCUGCCUAUGUAUUUCAGUAAAUUCUAAGGAUUGCCCUUGGAGUCACCUCCAUGCUCCUCACAGACCGCAAACAUAGCUCCAAGGAUCCACUGCUGUCAGGGUUGGUUUGUGCAUAUAUGUGUGUGUGUGUGUCACUGCAGAUAGGCUGUUCUAGAAUCCACUUGGGCUGCAGUUCCAGCUACCAGAGGUACAGAAUUUCCCAGCCAUUCCACAGCCCCUGGUCACUCACACCCUCCUGGAGGCCUGUGGUCUGCCUGUCUCCAUUCCCCUCCUCUUUACCACUGUGCACAUGCAGCCUUGUACCUUCUCCCUAACUCAGCACCCAAUAUGCACUUUUUCAACAGGGUAUCUCUGCUCCCUAGGAUCUGAUCUUUAUUUUCUUGCAGCCCAAGCUGACCUUCCCAAACUCAUUCUCCUCAUAGUUCUUGAAAGUGUUCCCUCUUUUCAGCUCCUGUAAUUGGCCCCACUUCCUCCUACAAGGUGUUCUGAGUCACUCUUUAUCUGCCAACCAAGGAAUAGUCAGUUCACCGGUAGUUAAGGACAAGCCCUGUAGAGACUGAGUUGCACUGGCGGAAACACUGGGCAUGUGGAUCUAAAUGGCACAUGAGUCCUUCCAGCGCUGCUCCCAGGAGUCCCUCACUGGCAUAAGGCCUAUUGUUAAGGUCAUUUAGGACCACGUCUUCUAAGCAGCACCCACAGAGUGUCACCACUGUGGUACCCUAUUCCCGGCCCAGCUCUGACCUCCUAUUGUCCUCUUGGUCAGAACCAAGAAUUUCCUCCUCUGCUUCAGGGACCCCAAAGCAGGUGCCUCAGAGGGUCCUACUCCCCUUCCUCACUUUCCACCUUGCUCUGCCUCCAACCCUGUUUCUGGCUCACAUGCUCCCCACCCUCCUGCUCUGGUUAUCUCUCCAGAAUCUCUGAGCUCCUUCCACUGGGCCAGAACCCUCUCUCAGAAUGUCAAGCUCUUGAACUCCCACCUCCUCCAAGAAGCUUUUUUGAUAGAUUGGAAGGGACCUAAUACUCUUUCUGACUUCAGCCUUUCCAGCCUUUUCCCAUCAGCAACAGUGGCUACAUAACAACUUGGUUAAGGGCUGGGCUCUGGGUCUAAGAUGUGCAAGAUGGAUAUGGAUGGAAUUUUAAAGACAAGCAGACAAGCUAAUCAAAGAGAUCCAGAAAGAGUAACAACAUUGCUGUUGUAUAUAAGCCGGUGGCAUUGAGAGCUGAGAGGGAGGGUUAUUAUGUUUCUGCAGGGGGAGCCCAAGGGGAAUAAGCCUAGUGAAACCAGAAAGACUUCAUGGAGGAGGUGGGCUUCAUAGAAGGUUGGUGGCUUUCCCACAUUUGCAAGUGUACUCUUCUGGUUAGGUUAUGUUUGGGUUCAUAUUCUGAGAUUCAUCUAUCUUCAUUAUAAUAGUAUCUCUGUGUUGCUUCUCAUCUCUCCAUCUCCCUUAUGUUCCUCUGGGGCAGUGCUGGUUGUGUCAGACUUCCUUAGAUGGGAAAGCCCCUGAGGCCAGUCUCCUUGUCUGUCUUCAUUGCUCUGUAGGUUACCUAGAACAGUGCCUAUUCAGAUUACUGGUUAUUCCUGAAGGUUCUUUAAGGCAAAUACUCUAGGCCCAGACCAAGAACUGGAGGGCCUAGACUGAGGUUUUAGCCUGGAUAGGAUCUGGCCUUAUUGAUGAGUGCAUCCCAUCAGAUUCACCAGAGAUGCUCCUCUCACUCACCCAACCUGGGCAGGUGGGCCCCAUCUUUUAAGAGAACAUCUCCGGACAAUGCUGCUCACACUUUGCCUCCCUUUUGCUCUUCUUAUCUCCCUUCUGAGAAGCCAUAGUCUGGGAGGCAGGACACGGGAGUCCUAGUCUAUGGCUGCCAGUUGUAUGACCUUGGGGAAGUAAUUUCAGCUCUCUGGGACUCGGUUUCAUCAUAUUAAAAUGCAAGGGUUCUACGGAUUUGACUCUUAUUAUCAGAUAAAAAUGAAUAUUAAAAGAACAAGAUAACAUUUUAGGAAUUGGACUAGAGGAGGAUUCCUAAAGCCUCUUUCAACUCCACAGUUCUGAUUCUAAACAAAAUCUGUCCUGUGAAUCUGUUUCACUCUCCAGCUCCAGCCCUGUCUGCUUCUCCCUAAUCUGUUUCUGUCUGAUGGGCUCAGUCUUUGUGUGCACAGCAUCCAUGUGAGGCCUGCACUUCUGCGGUUCACCCCAGGAGAUGAAGGGGAGGGGAGCUUAGGCUCUCAGCAAUGUAAAUCUCCCUAGGUCCCUCCAAGCUUUAGAGGGGCCCCUGAAAGGUGAGAAGGCAAAGAAGAGGAGGGCAAGAUGGCUGAGGCCCAGGAUAUCCCCAGUAAACAUCAAAGGCCCCAGAAACCAAGGUCAUUGCACCUCCCUGUAGGGGCCCCUACAAGGAGGCUAAUGAUGACACAGGUUCUUAAAACAGCCAGGAUGGAGACCCAGCCUGGGCAUCUGAGUGCCUGGAUCCUGCUGCCCCCCCCCCCACCCUGGCACCCCCAACUCCCUUGCCCAUCAGUCUCAGCUCCUGAGGUGUGCAGAGGGGGUGGGUAUGCACGAGCCCAGACUUCUCUCCCUCUCCUGAGGACCUUACCCCAGGGGAGAAGUGGGUGGCUAAAACAAAGGAGGGGAGCAGAACCCCUCUACAGAUAACAGUGGAGGGGGGAGGGGGUAAGCAGAGAGAAGAGAGGAAUUGACAGAGGAGGUGCUGCUAGCUGUCAGGAGGGAGACCCAAAUUCUCAUGUCUUCCCAUUUCGCAGGCUGUUUGCUAGAAGGACUUAAUUAAGGAGCCCAAAUAUAGUUUCUUUUGAACAGUGAAUAGGGCUGGGAGCACAGAUGAGGAAUGUGAUGCUCUGGGGUGGGGAGAGAAGGGACCAAUGCUGAGAUGCUGGAGGGCCCAGGGUGAAGGGGACAGAGAAGACAGGGGUGAGCUGGUGACUCCUUUUCCCUGCCUUAAGCUCUGCUGCUUUCCUUGAUGGAAGGGGGGCCAUUUCUUCCUUUCCCAUCCUCUGUCCUGAUCUCCCUCCAACUCCCUGGCUCCUGCCUUCACCUCCUUUACUGUCCCCUGAGAACAGCUCUCUCUGUCCAGUCCUCCCAGCACUCACCAGAAGCUUUAAGUCUUGGUUCACCUUCUGCCUCCACCAAGCCCCCUUUUUGCCUCCUCCCUUUCGUCCCCCACUCCUUCUCCUCCCAGGCCCCGCUGGCGCCCAGCAUAGCACUACAGAUGUAGGAGCAGAUCAAGAAGGGUGGGGGUGGUAGCUGUUGCUUUUCUGGGAUAUUCUUAGCCUGUCUGGGGGCUGGAGCUGGAAUCAGCGUUUCCAUCUCAACCAGGCAGGUGGCUGCCAGAAACUGCCACUGUGACUGGGUCUUCAUCUGGUUCCAUAUCCCUUAUCCUGUCCCUUCCUCCUCUAUAUUGAUUUCAUCGAUGAACACAGACCCUCUGAGAGUCCAGCCUUCCCACCCUUGUGCCCUAGAUGGAAGGUUUCCUCUGCCUAUCAGGCAUAGCCCCAGGAAGGUGUGCAAACCUCACUGGAGGCUCUGCGGGGAAAGAAGGGCCUUCGAGAACUCUAGCUCAGAUGCUCCCUAGAGUGGAACACAGCCCUCUCCUCUCUGCCCCCAGGCCCUCUUCUUUCAUCUGCCCCCAGCAACCCCUGCAUGGUACUCAGUCCCCAGACUGUAUUCACCACCAUGAAGGCCUUUCUUAUCUUGAUUUACAGGAAUCACUCAGGGGCCCUAGAGUUUCAGAAGCUGCCUCCUGAAAGCGGCUGAACCCUGGAGUCCAGGCCUCCUUUGGGCCAGAACAAGGGGCUCACUGACCCAGAUCUCUCCCCACAUCUUUUUUUUUUUGAGACAAAGUCUCACUCUUUUGCCCAGGCUAGAGUGCAGUGGCAUGAUCUUCACUCAUUCCUGGGCUCAAGGGAUCCUCCCACCUCAGCCUCCCAAGUAGUUGGGACCACAGGCAUGCAUCACCAGGCCUGGCUAAUUUUUGUACUUUUUGUAGAGAUGGAGUUUCACCAUGCUGCCCAGGCUGGUCUCUAACUCCUGGGCUCAAGCAGUCUGCCCACCUCAGCCUCAAAGUGUUAGGAUUACAGGCAUGAGCCACCUCGCCCAGCCUUCUCAGAUGCCCUUAUCAGUAGAGGGAGGGGCAAAGAAGAAAUCUCACUCAUUCACAAAUCGCACAAAAAAUGUUUGUCACCUUAAGAGGGACAGACAGUGCAGGGUCUCCUAUGUGGGUUCUGAGGUCAUUCGGUCUAUGUUCAAAUCCAGCCCCUCCACUUAUGACCUGGGGCCCUUGGGGCAAGUUUCUUAAUUCUUCUGAGGUCUAUAAAAGUGGACCAUACAAGGUGCAGUAGGAAGAGAUCACCAUCCACAGUCGGGCUGAGGCUGAAAGCACGUACCAGAUCAAGUAUGAGGAGCUGCAGACGCUGGCUGGGAAGCAUGGGGAUGACCUGCGUUGUGCAAAGACAGAUCUCCGAGAUGAACCAGAACAUCAGCAGGCUCCAGGCUGAGACUGAGGGCCUCAAAGGCCAGGGGGCUUCCCUGGAGGCCGCCAUGCAGCGGGCCAAGCAGGACAUGGCACGCAGCUGGGUGAGUACCAGAAGCUGGCCCUGGACAUCGAGAUCGCCACCUACAGGAAGCUGCUGGAGGGCGAGGAGAGCCGUCUGGAGUCUGGGAUGCAGAACGUGAGUAUCCAUAAGAAGACCACCAGUGGCUAUGCAGGUGGUCUGAGCUCAGCCUAUGGGGGCCUCACAAGCCCUUGGCCUCAGCUACAGCCUGGGCUCCAGCUUUGGCUCUGGCGCCGGCUCCAGCUCCUUCAGCUGCACCAGCUCCACCAGGGCCAUGGUUGGGGAGAUCGAGACCCACAAUGGGAAAUGGGAAGCUGGUGUCCGAGUCCUCUGACGUCCUGCCCAAGUGAAUAGCUGUGGCAGCCCCUCCCAGCCUGCCCCUUCUGUGGCUGCCCCAGAGUCCGGGAGGGAGGCCACUGUGCAGGGGAGCACAGGGAAUGGGAGACCCACCUGAGGCUCAGCCCUAGCCCUCAGCCCACCUGCAGGGGAGUUUACUGCGUGGGACACCUCCUUUGCCCAUAUCUCCAGCUACAAAACAAUUCCGUUUUUUCCCCCCAAAAUAAAACUUCAGCUAGUUCUACCAACUGGCAAAAAAAAAAAAAAAAAAUGGACUAUCAUCAUAAGGUUGUAAGAUUUUAUUUAAUCAUGCAAUGCUCAACAAUGCUUGUAUAUCACAUGUGCAUGGUGUUCAUAAAUGUUAAUUGUUAACAAAUUAUACUGUCAUCAUUAUUUUUACAGAGCAGGAGGAAAGCUUUGCCUGACCCGUGCCAUUAGCAUUUUUUUUCUCAUUAGAACAUUUUUCAUUAAAGGGCCAGGGUGGUACUAUCAUUUCUUUUUGUUUGGUUUCUGAAACCCAAAUUUAUAUCUGUGCUUUCCUCUCAGAUACUGUGCUCAUACCCACUGCUACUCAGACUGUUCCUGGGGGUGGUUUGAUUUGCUUCCUAGGGUCAUAAAGACCGACAGCAUAUUAGGCACUGGUCCCCUUUUCUGGUCCUGUUGCAGGCCACUUUAAUUUUCUGAAGCUCUGAAUAUUAAUUCUGGGCCAGGUUCCAUGCUGGCCCCAAGUCCUGACCGUGCUUUCUGGGAGCUGUACUCUGGCUACUCAUUCCACACCCCAUGGUCUCCCCAAAGCUCCAGAGACUCUAUGGAGAGUCAAUUCUGCUUUUCAAGGGCUUUGAGGAAAAUGUUCAAUAAGAUUAUUAAACCACAUGAGCAGAUACUAUUUGAGAAACUGUAGCCUACACAGUACUGGGCUAGGUGGUGGGAACACAAAAAGGUGUGAGGUAGGGCUCCAGCCUUCAAAGAAUGUACAGCAUAGGUGGCAGAGAUAUGAAAAAUAGUGAGAAAUAGCAAUAAAAUGAUGUGUCCUAGGGCCAGUUACAGAUAAUGGGAUUUGAUGACUCGGCUAAUCCUGCCCGCCCCCCUCCACCUUCCACCAUCACAGCUAAUCCAUCUCCAGCUUGUCCUAAAUUCAUAUGCACACAGAGUUAGAAUCCAUUUUUUUUUUUUUUUUUUGAGACGUAGUUUCGCUCUUGUUGGCCAGGCUGGAAUGCUAUGGCGUGAUCUCGGCUCACCGCAACCUCCACUUCCCAGGUUCUAGCGAUUCUCCUGCCUCGGCCUCCCGAGUAGCUGGGAUUACAGGUAUGUGCCACCAUGCCUGGCUAACUUAUUGUAUUUUUAGUAGAGAUGGGGUUUCACCGUGUUAGCCAGGAUGGUCUCGAUCUUCCGACCUCAGGUGAUCUGCCUGCCUUGGCCUCCCAAAGUGUUGGGAUUACAGACGUGAGCCACCGUGUCCGGCCAGAAUUCAUUUUUAACUGGGGUCUGGCUCCUGCACCUGGAACUGUGUUUGCUCCAGUGCAUGGCCUUCCUUGUCCAACCCCAGGCUGUGAUGAUAAGCACUGUUCCCAAGGUAGAACCAGGCCUCAGCAACCCCCUGCUCACAGUGACAAAGGGUCCUACCCCCUCUGCAUGAUAAGGGUUAUGAGUAACUUCUGUGUGAAGAUCGUGGUAGGUCUGCUUACUGCUCCGACGUCUUAGACAGGGGCCUUUUGUUGACUUCCUAUUUGUCCAGAAUUGGGGGCGGGUGGGGGAUGGGCUUCAAAGCAGGUUCAUUAAUUUACACUUGCCUCUGUCUGGUUCCUAAAUAUAAAGACAAUUCUUUAUGUUGACCUCCUUUGAGUAAAAAGACAUUCCUAAUUUAUAAGCUAGAGCCCCACAUAUACUUGCUUUUGAGUAGGGAGCAGAGGCGGGUAAGGUCGUCCACUAGAUUACUGGGUCCUAAACUACUCUGCCCAGCAGAACCACCUGGGGAAUUUUGUAAACAUAUAAUUUCCGGGCUCUACCUCAGACCUAUGGAAUCAUAAUUUCUUUUUUUUUUUUUUUAGGCGGAGUUUCAUUCUUGUUGCCCAGGCUGGAGUGCAAUGGCAUGAUCUUGGCUCACCACAACCUCUGCCUCCCGGGUUCAAGCGAUUCUCCUGCCUCAGCCUCCCAAGUAGCUGGGAUUACUGGCGCAGGCCACCAUGCCCAGCUUAUUUUGUAUUUUUAAUAGAGACAGGGUUUCUCCAUUUUGGUCAGGCUGGUCUUGAACUCCUGACCUCGUGAUCAACCCGCCUCAGCCUCCCAAAGUGCUGGAAUUACAGGCGUGAGCCACCACGCCUGGCCUGGAAUCAUAAUUUCUUUGAGUGGGCUCAAGAUGAAAUCCCUGUAAGAAAAAAAUUAAAAGGGAGGAGAAAACUCUAGGAAAUGGCUGGGUCCCACCUGUUCUUUCUGGAGAGCACCACUGUUGUCUCUCUGGCCAAGCCUCCCGCCCCACCACUCCAUGGUAGGAAUACCCUAACUUCCUCCUGGGAAACCACUUCUCCCACAUUCUCAAUCCAUGUGGCUUACAUGGGGCUAAGCCCUCCACAAGACAUAGAUUAAAGACAUAGACUUUGCCAGCUCCCAUCCUAGUGACAAGGGUUCAGGGAGGGGCUGGUAACCCAAAUCAGGCCAAUGAGACUCAAUUCUUGGAGUUUUAGAGAAACUGUUGGGAAAGAGAGGCUUUCCUUCCUCUGAGGUUGUCAAGCUGGUGGAAUGAAAGCCUUGAUCUGCUGGUGACUCUCUUGUCCCCACAUGGAGAAAGGCCACCUGAAGUCAUGCACAGGAAAGCAGAGUCAACAGAUGGGGGGGACAGAUUCCUGACAUAAUUUUAGCCCCUAGAUCCAGCUAAACCUGAUACAGUUGUAUGACGCCAUAAAUCCACACUGCCCCCACCCCCUGACCUUUUUUCUAAUCUUAAGGUAAUUUGAGUUGCAAAUCUAAUUCUUGCAAGCAAAAAUAUCCUGAUGAAUGGAACUUCCUGCCUGGAGAUUUUCCUUGUGGAAAUUUGUAACUUCAGGGGCAUACAUGUUUGGUCUGAAUAAAUGAGGAAGGCAGUCCCUGAUAUCUGGUUGUCAGUUAAUGACAAAAUCUGGAAGAGGCACUGUGGACCACAACCCGGGUUCUGAUCCUCUCAAACCUCCCAGUCCAAACCAUAGCUGGUGUUUGGAGUUCAUCAGCUUCCAAGGACCCUUCCUUAAAGGAAAAGUCAUUUCCCUGAGGCCUGCACAAUUGUCAAGUCUUUCGGGGCUGCUGCAAGACUGCAUUCCUUAGGUAUCAGCUUCCUGCUCAAAUAAGAGAUUUGAUGCUUUACCGUCCAUCAUGCUUCUGAAUCACAUUUGUCCACAACAAGUGUAAUAGGCAGCUGUAGGCACACAGAGCCGCUUGUUAUCAUCAGGGCUAUUAGCACAGUGUCUCUGGAGAAAUGGGGACAGAGGUGGGUUUGAGCUUUAAGCUGCCUGAGUUCUUGUUGGCUAAGACUACAGGACCUCUUGUCUGGACUGCCUUUGGGGAGCUUUCUCAAAGGAGUGAUUGGGGCUCUGAUCAAACCACAAUUACCUGGUUACAGCAUGGUUCACACCUGCCUUUUAAAGAAACUCCAAGGCUAUUUUCAAGUAGUUUGUGUAUUAUUCUGCAAUGGGACAAUGUUUUUCUAUCCCACCUGGUGGAAUUCAAUGGGUAAUUGAACAUCCAGUCAUAAUUCAUCUUUUCAUUUUUUCCAUUCAUUCAUUUACUCGGUACAAAUUUGUACGAGGAACUGUCUUUUAACUUUUUUUUUUUAAUUAAAUCUGACUUUUAGACGAAUCCUAUUGCAGGUGGAAGGUUAUGCUGUCUUAGUUGGUAUGGAGACUUUGUUCUCCCUCCAAAGACUAUACAUUUCCAGAAAAUGGACAUUUCCAGAAAAUUUCCUAUUUUAAGGCCGAUUAAUAACUUUAAUUACAUCUGCAACAAUCUCUUUCACCAUAUAAUGUAACAUAAUUAUGGGAGUAUCAUGGGGCAAAAAAACCAUGGAGGCCAUCUUAGAAUUCCAGCUGUCACUGUAUCUAUCUCUUUACCUAUCAAUUAGGAGAAAAUUCUUCAUUUUGUUGUUGUUGUUUGUUUUUAGACGAAAUCUUGCUCUGUCACCCAGGCUGGAGUGCGGUGGCAUAAUGUCAGCUCACUGCAAGCUUUGCCUCCCGGGUUUAAGCGAUUAUCCUGCCUCAGCCUCCCAAGUAGCUGGGAUUACAGUAGCUCACCACCACACCCAGCUGAUUUUUGUAUUUUUAGUAAAGACGGGAUUUCACCAUUUUGUCCAGGCUGGUCUCAAACUCCUGACCUCAGUUGAUCCACCCGCCUUGGCCUCCCAAAGUUCUGGGAUUACAGGUGUGAGCCACUGUGCCCGGCCUGUUGUUGUUUUUGAGGCAGGGUCUCAAAAACCUGUUGCCCAGGCUGUAGUGCAGUGGUGCAAUCACGGCUCAUUGCAGCCUUGAUCUCCUGGACUCAAGCAAUCCUCCCGCCUCUGCCUCCAAGGUGCUGGGACCACAGAUGUGUGUGCCACCAUGCUUGGCUAAUUUUUUAAACUUUUGUAGAGAUGGGGUCUCUAUGUUGCCCAGCAUGGUCUUGAAUUUCUGGGCUCAGGCUAUCCUCCCACCUCGGCCUCCCAAAGUGCUGGGAUUACAAGCAUGAGCCACCACACCUGGCCAGUUGUUCAUACUUUAUGUAAGUGAGACCAUACUAUAUUAAUCUAAUACUUGCUUUUUUUUUUUUUGCUUUACAUUAAGUUUGUAAGAUUUAUUUUUGUUGAUAACCUUGUUGAUUUUUAUUUUUCCUGCUGCAUAACAUUUCACUGUAUGAGUGUAGUAAGUUUUACUUAUUUGUUCUCUUGGUGACGGAUAAUUAGUUUGCUUUCAGUUUUUUAUUAUUACAAACAAUUGUGUUAUAAAUAUUAUUUUAUAUGUCUAUGUCUCUGGUGCACAUGUACAAUCAUUUCUCUAGGAAUAUGCCCAGUGGAGUUGCUGGGUUAUUGGGUAUACAUAUUCAACUUUACUAGAUCUUGCUAAAUUGUUCUCCUAAGGUGUUGUACCAACUUACACCCUGCAAUGCAUACGAGUUUCUUUUUUCUUUCUUUCAUUUUUUUUUUUUUUUCGAGAUGGAGUUUUGCCCUUGUCAUUUGUCACCGAGGCUGGAUUGCAAUGGUGCUAUCUCGGCUCGCAGCAACCUCCUCCUCCCGGGUUCAAGAGAUUCUCCGGCCUCAGCCUCUGGAGUAGCUGGGAUUACAGGCGCGUGCCACUACACCCAGCUAAUUUUUUUAUAUUUUUAGUAGAGACGGGGUUUCCCCAUGUUGGCCAGGCUGGUCUGGAACUCCUGACCUCAGGUGAUCCACCCGCCUCAGCCUCCCAAAGUGCUGGAAUUACAGGCGGGAGCCACGGCGCCCAGCCUGUGCAUGCAAGUUUCUAUGGCUCCGUAUCUCCACCAACUUGUGAUAUUGUCAGGUUUAAAAUUUUGGUCAUUCUGAUAUAUGGGCAAUAAUUCACUUUAGUGAUAUAUAAAUUUUACUUAUUCAACAAAUAAAUAUUUAUCAAGUGCCUCUACAUGCCAGGCAGUGAACAAAAUAGACAAAGUCCCUGCCCUGUAGAGUCGGAAAGGCCAACAAAUAUAUAUUUUUAGAUACUGAUAUAAGUAUUAUAUAAAAGUAUUAAUAUUAUAAUUAAUAGUUAUAUAUAUUAAUCGCAUGUGGCUUUUCCACUGGCUUACAAGACCCAGAAUGAUCUUCCCUCUGCCCUUACCACUUCAACCCCACCCCUUACUCUGUCCCCACCACACUGGCCUCCCAUUUUGGCUUUGCACUGGCUGUCUUUGUCUACUUGGAACACCCUCUCCCAGUUACAGACAAGGCUUACUUCCUCACCUCAUGCAACUCUUUGGUCAAAAGCCAUCAUCUUAAUGAGGUCUACCCUAAUCAGUCUGCUGUGGACUAUUCGUGGCCCCCAAAAUUCAUUUGUUGAGGCCUAACACCCAAUGUGAUGAUAUCUGAACACCCAAUGUGAUGAUAUUUGGGGCCUUUAGGGGGUAAUUAGGUUUAGAUGAGGUCCUGAGGGUGGGGCCCUCUGAUGGGUUUAGUGUCCCAAGAGAGCUUGCUGUCUGUCUGCCAGGUGAGUACACACAAAGCAGGCAAGCCUGGAAGAGAUCCCCCACCAGAAUCCUGCCAUCCUGGCAUCCUGACCUCAGACUUCCAGCCUCCACAACUGUAAGAAAUAAAUGUAUGUCGUUUCAGCUACCCAGUCGAUAGUAUUUUGUUGUGGCAGCCUGAGCUAACUAAGACACAAAUUGCAUCCUGCCCCUGGCCCUGCCAGUCUCUCAUCUCAAUCUCCUGUCCCCUGCUCCAUUUUUUUCUCUGGAAUUUGUGAUCUGCUAAACUACUAGAUAAUUUUAUUCAUUUAUUAUGUUUGUUUCACCACAUACAUACUAGAAUAUGAGAUCCAGAAUAUUUGUCUUUUUUGUUCAUAAAUGUAUUCUAAGUGCCUAGAAUUCAGUGAAUACUUGCUGAAGGAAUAAAUGCUGUGGAGGAGGCAGCAUUCUAUUUCAUAUAGCAUCUGGGAAGGCCUCUUUGAUAAGGUAGACAUUUCCCAACUGUUACUGGAAUUGAGCUUUUUUUUUUUUUUUUUUUUUUUUUUUUGGACAGAGUUUCACUCUUGUUGCCCAGGCUGGAGUACAAUGGCGCAAUCUCAGCUCACCACAACCUCCACUUCUUGGGUUCAAGCAAUUCUCCUGACUCAGCCUCCCAAGUAGCUGGGAUUACAGGCAUGCACCACCAUGCCUGGCUAAUUUUGUAUUUUUAGUAGAGAUGGGGUUUCUCCAUGUUGGUCAGGCUGGUCUUGAACUAUGACCUCAGGUGAUUCACCUGCCUCGGCCACCCGAAGUGCUGGGAUUACAGGCGUGAAUCACCUCGCCCGGCUGGUAUUGAGCAUCUUUUUGUGGUAUUUCUUCCUUUUGUGACCAUCUAGGAUUUCCUCUUCUAUUAACUACCUGUUCAUCUCUUUUGCUUUUUUUUUUUUUUUUUUUUGAGACAGAGUCUCGCUCUAUUGCCCAGGCUGGAGUGCAGUGGCGCGAUCUCCGCUCACUGCAAGCUCCGCCUCCCAGGUUCAUGCCAUUCUCCUGCCUCAGCCUCCCCGAGUAGCUGGGACUACAGGCACCCACCACAACACCCGGCUAAUUUUUUGUAUUUUUAGUAGAGCCAGGGUUUCACCGUGUUAGCCAGGAUGGUCUUGAUCUCCUGACCUCGUAAUCCGCACACCUUGGCCUCCCAAAGUGCUGGGAUUACAGGCGUGACCCACCACGCCCAGCUCUCUUGCUUAUUUUCUAUUGAUUGGUUUAUCUUCUCUUUUAAUUUGUAGAUUUUUUUAAAAUAAAUCUUGAAUGCCAGUCCCUUGUUAAUUACAUGUAGUUUAUAUCUUCUCCUAGGCUACAUGUUACUUUUUUAAAAAAUGGUGUCUUUUUGCCUGUAAUCCCAGCACUUUGGGAGGCCAAGACGGGCAGAUCACCUGAGGUUGGGAGUUCGAGACCAGCCUGACCAACAUGGAGAAACCCCGUCUUUACUAAAAUACAAAAUUAGCUGGGCAUGGUGGCACAUGCCUGUAAUCCCAGCUACUCAGGAGGCUGAGGCAGAAGAAUUGCUUGAACCUGGGAGGCAGAGGUUGCCGUAAGCUGAGAUCACGCCAUUAUACUCCAGCCUGGGCAACAAGAGUGAAAUUCUGUCUCCAAAAAAAAAAAAAAAAAAAAAGAGUGUCUUUUGAUGAGUGGAAGUUUUUUAUGUGUUAUGUAUCUUUUCCUUUAAGGUUUGCAUAUCUAAUUUUAGAAGUCCUUCCCUCAUUUGAAAUCAAUAUUCUCCUAAACCUAGAACUUUAAAAGGUUUUUAAAAGUUUUAAGGCUUACAUUUGUUUAUUGAAGCUAUGUGUUUUUAUUUGGGUGUGAAUUAGGGAUUUUUUUUCUUCUUAAACAAUGGAAAGCCUCUUUUCCCAGCACCAUUUAUGGAUUAGCCCUUUUUCCCACUGAUUUUCAGUGCCACCUCUCUCAUGAAUACAUUUUCCACAUUUGUGUGGUCUAUUUCUGAGCUCUUUUCUCUUAGACUUGUCUAUUUAUCUAAUCAGUACAGAACUGUUUACUAAGGCUGGGAACCCCAAGGGGCCAAGUCUGGUCUGGGUGACUCUUUGUGUAGCCUUCUUCCUAGAUAAGAGCCACACUCACUCUCUCUCUCUCUCUUUUUUCUUUUUUGAGACAGUCUUGCUGAGGCUGGAAUGCAGUGGUGUGAUAAUGGCUCACUACAGCCUCAACCUCCUGGACUCAAGUGAUCCUCCCACCUCAGCCUCCUGUGCAGCUGGGACCACAGGCAUACACCACCAUGCCCAGCUAAUUUAGAGCCACUCUCCUGAUGCUCAUUAGCAAGCCAGCCUCUGGCCCCUCCUAGGCUUGGUGAUAUCACCCCUCACCUGUCGCAGCUCCUGCCUCUCUCUUCCCAAAAACCUCUGCAGCUUUCACUUCCCCAGCAUGAUCUUAGUUUAGGCUUUCACAAAAGACUGGAAGAGCAGUGGCCUGGAAGCAACAUCUGAAAUAUCAACUUUUUUGUGACCAGAGACACCAAGGGGGAUUGGCAAGAGGAAAAGAUGGAGUCGGAGGCUCCAGGCUCAGUCCUUGGAGCUCUUCUCUCUGUAUCCUCUUUCUAGGUGAAAUUCACCCAUAUGUUGAUGACAUUCAAAUUUACGUCUCCAACCUGGAUCUCUCUUUUAAACACCAGACCUACUUGAGAUCUCCACUUGGAUGUAUUAUAGGCAUUUCAACAUGGCCAAAACCAACUCCUGAUACUCCCUCCCCACUUGCUCCUGCUGCUGCUCCCAUCUCCGUUAACAGUAAUUCUAGUUUACUAAAUCUCAGAUGAAUGUUUUGGAGUUAUCUUUGACUCCUCUUUUUAUUUCACGCCCAUAUUUAAUGCAUCAGCAAAUCUGGAUGGUUCUGCCUGCAAAAUAUAUCCAGAAUUCAACCACUGCUCACUACCUCCUUUGCCUCCACCCUGGCCCAAGCCACCACUAUCUCUUGCUUGGUUUAUUGCAAUAGCCCCCUAACGGUUCUUCCUACUUCUUCCCUACCUGCAGUGCUUUCUCAAAAUGGUAGAUAGAGUGGUCCUGUUAAAAUGAAAGCCAGAUCAUGUCACUCUUCUGUUUAACACCCUCCAACGGCUCCCAUCUCUGGUAGAGGAAAAUCCCAAGUCUUUACUAUGACCUACAAGGGCCUAUUGGUAGAUUAAAGAUAGUCACAAAUUAUUUGACACUCUUCCCAUUGAAAGGUAUAUUGCUAUCUCCCUUUCCAUGACUUCUUUGACCAAUGAAAUAUGGCAGAAGUGGCCAGUCGCGGUAGCUCAUGUCUGUAAUUCCAGCAUUUUGGGAGGCCAAGGCAGGUGGAUCCCUGAGGUCAGGAGUUCGAGACCAGCCUGGCCAACGUGGUGAAACCCCGUCUCUACUAGAAAUAUGGCAGAAGUGCCACUGUGUCUGUUUCUGUGUCCAGGCCUUAGAAGACUGGCAUUUUCUAUUUCCUGUCUCUUGAAACACUUGCUCUUGGAACCUUCAGACACCAUGUAAGAAAUCCAGCUAUUCUAAUAGAGACCACAUGGAGAGGCCCUGAGACUACAUGGAGAGGAAGAGGGGCCUAGCUGAACCCAGCCUUCCAGCUAUCUCCCCCAGGCACCAAACAUGAGAGUGAAACCACGUGGAAUCCUACAGACCAACCCAUCUGCCAGUGAACAUCAGAGUGACCUUAUUUGAUGCUAGUAGAGCAGAAAAAAAUGCCCAGUUGAAUUUUGUCCAAAUUCCUGAUCCACCAAUUGUGAGAUACAAAAAGGUGGUUGUUUUAAGCCACAAAACUUGAGAUAGUUUCUCAUGCAGAAAUAGAGAACCAAACCAGCUAAUCCGACCUUGCCCCCUUCCAUCAUCUUCAUGACCUCAUUUACUGCCUUUUUUUUCCCUCAUGCCUCUCUAGUCAUCGCUGCUUCCUUGCAGUUCCUCAAAUCCUCCAGACCAGCUUCUGCCCAGGACUUUUGCAUGUGCUGUUCCCAGUGUACAUUCUUCCACCUGCACAUAAAUAAAGCAGUGUAAACUGUAAUUACUGUUUUGAGCCCUACUUUUUUCAGUUUAUAUAAAUCUUUCUGUUGGAAUAGUCUACUAAAACAUUUUUUUUUGAGACAGUGUCUUGCUCUGUUGCCCAGGCUGGAGUACAGUGACACAAUCAUGGCUCACUGCAACCUCACCUCCUGAGCUCAAACAAUCCUCCCUCUUUAGCCUCCUGAGUAACUGGGACUACAGGGGCGCAUCACCACAUCCAGUGAAUUUUUUAAAUUUUUUUGUAGACACAGGGUCUCACUAUGUUGCCCAGGCUGGUCUCAAACUUCUGGGCUCAAGCAAUCCUCCCACCUUAGCCUCCCAAAGUGCUGGAAUUAUAGUUGUGAGCCACUGUACGUGGCCUAAAACAUUUUUUAGUGGACACAGUGUUCAUUUGUGUGGCUAUUUGUUUUACCAACAUUUAAUUAUGAAAACUUUCAAAUAUACAGAAAAAUUGAGAGAUUUGUACAGUGAAAACACAUCUAUUUGCCACCUCAAGUCUAUAAUCAACCUUUUACUAUAUUUGCUUUAUCACAUAUCUAUUCCUCUAUCCAACUUGCUCUUUUAAAUACAUUUCAUCCUAUUCAACAUAGUACUGGAAGUCCUAGCCAGAGUAAUCAGUCAAGAGAAAGGGAAAAAAGGCAUCCAAAUAGGAGGAGAGGAAGUCAAGCUAUCUCUCUUUGCAGAUGAUUUUAUACCUAGAAAACCCCAUAGUCUCUGCCCAAAAGCUCCUAGAUCUAUAAACAUCUUCAGCAAAGUUUCAGUAUACAAAGUCAAUGUACAAAAAUCAGUAGCAUUUCUAUACACCAACAACAGUCAAGCUGAGAGCCAAAUCAUGAAUGCAAUCCUAUUCACAAUAACCACAAAAAAUACCUAUUAAUACAGCUAACCAAGGAGGUAAAAAAUCUGUCCAACAAGAGUUACAAAACACAGCUGAAAGAAAUCAGAGAUGACACAAACAAAUGGAAAAAUAUUCCAUGCUCAUGGACUGGAAGAAUCAAUAGUGUUAAAAUGCUCAUACUGCCCAAAGCAAUUUGCAGAUUCAAUGCUAUUCCUAUCAAACUACCAAGCACAUUUUCACAGAAUUAGAAAAAAAAAUAUUCUAAAAUUCAUAUGGAACCAAAAAGAGACCAAAUAGCCAACACAAUCCUAAGCAAAAAGAACAAAGCUGAAGGCAUCAUACUACCUGGCUUCUAACUAUACCAUAAGGUUACAGUAACCAAAAUAGCAUGGUAACAAAAACAGACACACAGACCAAUGGAACAGGCUUAAGAACCCAGAAAUAAAGCCACACACCUAUAAUUGUCUAUCUUCAACAAAGUCAACAAAAGCAAUGGGGAAAGUACUCCCUAGUUGCUGGGAUAACUGGCUAGCCAUGAUUGAAACUGGAUCCCUUCCUUUCACUAUAUACAAACAUCAACUCAAGAUGGAUUAAAGACUUAAAUGUAAAACCUAAAACUAUAAAAACUCUAGAAGAAAACAUAGGAAAUACAUUCUGGACAUAGGCCCCGGAAAAGAUUUUAUGAGAAGACACCAAAAACAAUUGUAACAACAUCAAAAAUUGAUAAAUGGGAACUAAUUAAACUAAAGAGCUUCUGUACAGCAAAAGAAACUAUCAACAGAGUAAACAGAUAACCUAGAGAAUGGGAGAAAUAUUUGCCAACUAUACAUCCACAAAAGUAUAAUAUCCAGAAUCUAUAAGGAGCUUAAAUCAAUAAGCAAAAACAAACAACCCAAUUAAAAAUGGGCAAAGGACAUGAACAGACGCUUCUUAAAAGAAGACAUAUAUGUGGAAAAACCAUAUGAAAAAAUGUUCAACAUCAUUAAUCACUAGAGAAAUGCAAAUCAAAAUAAUAAUGAAAUACCAUCUCACAUCCAUCAGAAUGGCUAUUAAAAAGUCACUGGGUACAGUGGCUCAUGCCUGUAAUACCAGCACUUUGGUGGUUGAGGUGGGAGGAGUUCAAGACCAGACUAGGCAACACAGUGAGACCCCAUCUCUACAAAACAAAAUUUUU
rnacentral:lncRNA from 1 species